rnacentral:rRNA from 1 species
AUCUAUGCCUACACCCUUCUGAUCACACCUGAUCUCUGUAUCUAAGCAGGGUUGGGCCUUGCUGAGACUUGGAUGUGAGACCACCUGGGAAUACUGGGUGCUUUACGCU